rnacentral:tRNA from 1 species
GGGGAUUUAGCUUAGUGGUAGAGCGCUUGCUUAGGAAGCGCAAGGCCCUGGGUUCGGUCCCCAGCUCCA